rnacentral:rRNA from 1 species
GACGAACCGUGCGAACGUUGUUCGGAAUCACUGGGCUUAAAGGGCGCGUAGGCGGCGGGUCAAGUCCGGGGUGAAAGCCCCCAGCUCAACUGGGGAAGUGCCCCGGAUACUGAUUCGCUCGAGGGAGGUAGGGGCGGAUGGAACUUCCGGUGGAGCGGUGAAAUGCGUUGAUAUCGGAAGGAACGCCGGUGGCGAAAGCGGAUCUCUGGGCCAUUACUGACGCUGAGGAGCGAAAGCGUGGGGAGCGAACAGG